AACGAACGCUGGCGGCAGGCUUAACACAUGCAAGUCGAACGCCCCGCAAGGGGAGUGGCAGACGGGUGAGUAACGCGUGGGAACGUGCCCUUCGCUUCGGAAUAGCCCCGGGAAACUGGGAGUAAUACCGAAUACGCCGUAUUGGGAAAGAUUUAUCGGCGAAGGAUCGGCCCGCGUUAGAUUAGCUAGUUGGCGGUGUAAUGGACCACCAAGGCUAGGGUCUAUAGCUGGUCAGAGAGGAUGAUCAGCCACACUGGGACUGAGACACGGCCCAGACUCCUACGGGAGGCAGCAGUGGGGAGUCUUGGACAAGGGGCGCAAGCCUGAUCCAGCCAUGCCGCGUGAGUGAAGAAGGCCUUAGGGUUGUAAAACUCUUUCGCCGGAGAAGAUAAUGACGGUAUCCGGAGAAGAAGCCCCGGCUAACUUCGUGCCAGCCGCCGCCGUAAUAC
rnacentral:rRNA from 1 species